GUUAGUAUGCAAGUAUGAAAAUGUUGCAGGAAUAAGACACUGAUGUUACUGCACUGCUUGCCAGAGCCAGAGAUGUACUGAAUGUCUGUCCUGUGAAGUGAGUGAAGGAUUUUUUUUUAUACUGUGUAUGAAUUAAUAUGUUGAAGCUGUCAGGCUUACUUAAACAUGAACAAAAAAGUUUUACAAAUAUCCCCAAAAUAGCUCAAUAACAGUUUUUACAAAACUGAAGAUCCUGAGUUAGCUCUAAAAUUCAAAAACCUGGAAGUUGCGAUAAAGUUUUGAGUUUUCUCAGCUUUUUCAUUUUUAGAAAUAAUUUUCUUUUUUUCUUUAUCUCAGACAUGUAAUCUUUUUGUUCCGUAACACCAGCUGAUAUGACAUGUCACACCUACCACCAAAUGACACUUAUGAGGAAGGCGUAAUUUUCUGCCGAAACAUGUCAAGGUAUGUGAAAAAGAUUAGCUGUCUAUAAAGAAAAAAAAGAAAACUAUUUCCAAGAAACUGAAGACAUAAUGAACAUCAUUCAACUAUUUUUCAUUCAAGUGUCAAAUUCGUGACUAUACGUAAUUUUAAAAAUCCUCAGAAAUACCUGCGAUUCCUUCUGUAGAUCACCGUGAUCAUUGCAUGUGGUUGACAGCUCUUAGCAAUAAGCUGCAUUAGUUCCUGAUUAAGAGAUUUCUGCACAUUAAAGUCCCACCCUCAUCAGACAGGAAAAACAAUCCAUGACUCCCUCUCCACAGCACUGCAUUGUGUGGUACAGCCCUCUCAUCUUUUUGGUUUUCUAGAAAACAACAGAAAAGCGCCUUAAAGCAGCUUUGUGCAGGGAUGUGUUUCUGAUGGAGUAAAUAACCUGGAUGUGACUUUUACCAGCAUCAGAAAAAAGCAUCAGACAUCUGUUCAGACAACCUUCAGAGGUUGAUAUUAAACUCGAAUAAAUCUUUUUUUUUGGGAUUGGAUGAAGAUCUCGUGAAGUUAUUGAAUUGAUUUGGUGUUAAUUUUCUUCUUUCUGUACCCAUCCUGUUAGAGUUUAGUGCAAUAUUUAACCGAACAGACUAUCCCACCCUGUGGCAAAGACUAUAACCAGUAACGUUACCAUACCUUGCAGUCACACUCUGAGCUGGUGGUUAAAUAACAUGAAUGUGUUGCCAGCAAGGUUGGAAAUUAACAAAACGUUGACAAAGAAAGACAGAACAAGACAAAACUUUCAUAUUGUUUAAACAACCAGUAUAGAGCUGCAAAAAUGACUAAUGUUUUCAGAGUGAGAUGCACAUUCAGAGGCAAUCUAUGACUUAAUAUCCUUCCUUCCAAAUCUGUUCCGUUAAAUGCUUUAAAUUAUCACACACUGUACCUUUAAAGUCAUGGGACUCCUCUGACAGCAGCAGAGUUCAUCAAACAGAGAAUUUUCUGGUCUGAAGCUAGAUUGUUGGUAUGUUGACAAUGCAAUACUAAAAGGAUUUGAGUUUCUUCUCAUAUAGGUCACACAAAUGAAAACUUUUGAUCGAAUUCUAACAGAACAGAUAAAAUUUUCUUGAUUGGUAAGCAAUAAGACGAUAUUUAAGGAGAAAUGUAGUGGCUGCUGGUCAUUGCUCGUGUCCUCCAGGUGGAGGCGCUGCAGGCCAAACUCACACAGCUGCUCUGUACAUGUUAAGAUCUUAUAUACAGUCUAUGGUUAAGAUAGAGACAUGAAGCUGCGGAGUCAGUGCUGAAGCUGUUUGAACACUGAAAACUCUGUUGUUGAUCCUGUGUGUGUUUGUUAGUCUGUGUUCAGAGUGUAAAAAGUCGGAGUCUCGCUGUAUCACUCAGGCUGUACUACAGCGUCUAUUCACGGGCGCGAACCCACUACUGAGCGGCACGAGAGCUUUGACCUGCUCCGUUUCCGACCUGGGCCGGUUCACCCCUCCUUAGACGACCUGCUGGUCCCGGGCUCCCCUAGGAUCAGCAUAUCGAUACCGAACUUAGUGCGGACACCCGAUCGACAUAGUCCACUGCAGCUCAGAGCUCCUGAACUCAAACGAUCCUCCAGACUCAGCCUCCCGGGGACUUGGAUUACAGGCACGCGCCA